rnacentral:rRNA from 1 species
AUUGAACGCUGGCGGCAGGCCUAACACAUGCAAGUCGAGCGGCAGCGACUUAACUGAACCUUCGGGGAACGUUAAGGGCGGCGAGCGGCGGACGGGUGAGUAAUGCCUGGGAAUAUGCCCUGAUGUGGGGGAUAACUAUUGGAAACGAUAGCUAAUACCGCAUAAUCUCUUCGGAGCAAAGAGGGGGACCUUCGGGCCUCUCGCGUCAGGAUUAGCCCAGGUGGGAUUAGCUUGUUGGUGAGGUAAUGGCUCACCAAGGCAACGAUCCCUAGCUGGUCUGAGAGGAUGAUCAGCCACACUGGAACUGAGACACGGUCCAGACUCCUACGGGAGGCAGCAGUGGGGAAUAUUGCACAAUGGGGGAAACCCUGAUGCAGCCAUGCCGCGUGUGUGAAGAAGGCCUUCGGGUUGUAAAGCACUUUCAGUAGGGAGGAAGGUAGUGUAGUUAACACCUGCACUAUUUGACGUUACCUACAGAAGAAGCACCGGCUAACUCCGUGCCAGCAGCCGCGGUAAUACGGAGGGUGCGAGCGUUAAUCGGAAUUACUGGGCGUAAAGCGCAUGCAGGCGGCCUGUUAAGUCAGAUGUGAAAGCCCGGGGCUUAACCUCGGAAUUGCAUUUGAAACUGGCAGGCUAGAGUCUUGUAGAGGGGGGUAGAAUUUCAGGUGUAGCGGUGAAAUGCGUAGAGAUCUGAAGGAAUACCAGUGGCGAAGGCGGCCCCCUGGACAAAGACUGACGCUCAGAUGCGAAAGCGUGGGGAGCAAACAGG